GUCGGUGCCAUUUAUUUUCAGAGGCUGUCAAGGCUGGUUUCAGCAUUUAAAAGAAAGGAGGAUAAAACGCAUUUGCAUUUCUCCCCCACUCUCGCUGCGCGCUCGCCGGCGCUCCCCCUCGUUCCCUGCGCAGCUCGCGGGUCGGGCGUUGGCGGGGAGGGGGAGGCCAGAGGCUUUUCAAGGCGCUGGGGGCUCCGGCCGGCCCGGUGGGGGCCUCCCCCCGCCAGAGUCAGGGGUGUCGGGCGAUUCCGGGGUGGGGGCCCGAGUCUGGUCCAGCGGGGCUCUGGGUGGCAGAGGGGGGAAGGUUAAGCGGGGCUGCUGGCUUGGGGAAUUUGGGGCCGUCCGCGGGGCUCUCCUCGGGCUCCAAGCUUUCACCCCAGAAAACAGCCCUGAACCCCAAAUUUGCUCCAGCCCCAGGGGGCCCUACCUGCCCUUCCUGGCUUCCCCAGUGGAAAUCUAAGGUACUGGAGGCUUCCAGGGGAGCCAGGGCACCCCUAGGACAACCCCCUCUCUCUGCAGAUGGGGAAACUGAGGCCUGGAAACAGAGAACGGUGGGACCAAGGUCACAUGAUGGCGGAAGGAGGACAAGGAAGGAGGCUGACUGCGUAUCCAGCACGUGUUCCGUGCCAAGCCUGUGCAGGGGCCAAGGACCGGGGUCUCUGGACAGCGCCGGUUGCUGGGUCCCACGCUGGGCGACAGGGCCUUUGCAAUCAGGCCGACAGGGUUUGAACCCUUGCCGCGGCACUUUCCAGAUGGCCUUGGCCACUGUCCCCUCUCUGACCUUCAGAUGGAGCCCAUGGCACCUCCGGAGGGGGUGUGUGCUUCCAGGACCAAAUCCACUUGUGCGUGGUUAGGCACGAGGUGGGGGGAGGCGGCUCAGCCACCGGGACCUGUCCUGCCUCCACCCUCUGUGCAACCCCUUUCCUUGCCUUUUGUCUCUGUUGCUUUUGGGGGGUGAUUAGCCGCUAGCUCAGCGGCUAGAGGAUUCUCUCCCGGAAAAGGCUCCGGAGUUGAGGCCCAGACCCCCAGGGCAAGACGGAAUCUGCUCCCCAGGGCACUAACUGAGACUCGGUUCCCUCACUGGUAAAAUGAGAAAACUCACUUAUGGUCAGGGGUCCCCGAGUUAAUGCCAGUGAAUUCCUUGGCAGAGCAUCAAGCACUUGGAGAAGCCCCCACCCCCGGUCAUUGUGAUGAUGGUUUGUUUGUUUGUUUGUUUGUUUUGAGACGGAGUCUCGCUCUGUCGCCCAGGCUGGAGUGCAGUGGCGCGAUCUCGGCUCACUGCAAGCUCUGCCUCCCGGGUUCACGCCAUUCAGGGGAGUGGCGCCGAGACACCGUGUAGCGCCCAUGCCAAGGAGGAAGCGAGACAGCAGGAGCGGAGGAAAGAACCCCGGGCUGUGUUGAGGAAGCCUCCUACUUUUGCCUGAAGUGAGGUCUCCUAUAGAGAGAAGCGUUGACUGGGGACACUCGCUGCUUGCGUUUUGCUGGUAG
rnacentral:lncRNA from 1 species